rfam:Bacillus sp. LF1 genome assembly, contig: CONTIG000001
UGAGCCUUUAAAUCAGUCCCGUGAGGCUGAGAAGGAAACGGAUAAAAACAAUGGUGAUUAAAUAGCCAUUCGUUUAUGAAUAUUCCUUUUCUGCCUCUCGCUACGGUGAGAGGUUUUUAUUUUU